rnacentral:rRNA from 1 species
AUUGAACGCUGGCGGAAUGCUUUACACAUGCAAGUCGAGCGGCAGCACGGGGGCAACCCUGGUGGCGAGCGGCGAACGGGUGAGUAAUACAUCGGGACAUGCCCAGUCGUGGGGGAUAACACUUCGAAAGAAGUGCUAAUACCGCAAACGCCCUGAGGGGGAAAGCGGGGGAUCGCAAGACCUCGCGCGAUUGGACUGGCCGAUGUCGGAUUAGCUAGUUGGGGGGGUAAAGGCCUACCAAGGCAACGAUCUGUAGCUGGUCUGAGAGGAUGAUCAGCCACACUGGAACUGAGACACGGCCCAGACUCCUACGGGAGGCAGCAGUGGGGAAUUUUGGACAAUGGGGGCAACCCUGAUCCAGCCAUUCCGCGUGAGUGAAGAAGGCCUUCGGGUUGUAAAGCUCUUUCGGCAGGAACGAAACGGUGAGCUCUAACAUAGCUUGCUAAUGACGGUACCUGAAGAAGAAGCACCGGCUAACUACGUG